UAAAGCUUUGCCGCAGAAGAUUCUGGUCUGUUGCGUCUUUCCUGGCCGGUCGUGAGAACGCGUCUAAUAACACAUAUGGACGGUGUCAAGCCCGCACGGCCUCCUUACCUACCAGAUCCGUCCGCCAAAGCCCUCGAUAGUCUGAUGCUUGGUUUGUUCCAGAUCUCGAGUUCCACCUAUAAAGACAGGAAUGAGGAAUACAGACAGCAGUUCACACACCUGCCGGACUCGGAGAAGCUGAUAGCAGGUACUCAGGACGCAGCAGACAGACAGACAUGACGGACAGCAUGGAGAGAACUCUUAGGCCUUCGAUAGACAGGGAAUGCAGUGUCCUGUUUUACAGUUAGAUGGGCUUAUGCCACGUGUAACCAGGGAACAGUGAUUUCUGACCUAGGAGAUAUUACGUACUAAGAAGAAAU
rnacentral:lncRNA from 1 species